GCUAGUGUACGUUGUUGCCCAUGAUGACGUAUUGCACUGUUAAGUGGAUGAGCGAUACGUACAGUUAGUACACUCUUCAUCAUCCAUGCACGCUUCAGAGCCGAACACCUUACCUGACGAAAGUUAAAUAGAUGCCAUGAAAGCUACUAUGAUACAAGUAUAUGUCAGGCGUGGGCAUUCCGGAGCAGUAAUCUUUUGGUUUUGUGGGCAUAGUUCUCAUCAAGUGAUUAUUUCAUGUGUGGUUUUGGAUUGGAACCAGUGCUGCUGAAGGAGACCUGGCACACCGCGCUACCUUGACCCAGAAGAAGCAGAUGUGGCAGACUAUUAUAUAUGCUGUUAAAGGUGUGAGUUCCUGCCAGUGGGAUGUGUCUAAUGUCAAGAAAAGGUUCAAUGAUGUGAAGCGCAUCCUUAAAAGUAAAAUGGCAAAUGAGAUGAAGCAGGCUCACAGGACAGGAGGUGGGCACCCCAUAUCCAUCCACUUUACGGCAUACACGGAAGAGUUGAAGCAGAUAAUUCUUGCCAAAGUCCUCCAAGCAGUCCGCAUAGAGGACACUGACCGACCUCCAACCAAGGGCCCAUCUGCUGCACCUUUGAGGCGGAAGGCUCAUUCAAAAAGGACCAAGCCACGUGUGGAAGACGAUGUUGCCAAAAAGUCAUGCGCAUGGGACGUACUUGGACGUUCCAACAUGACAAUGAUCCAAAACACAAGGCCAAGUCAACCUGUCAUUGGCUACAGCAGAAUAAAGUGAAGGUUCUGGAGUGGCCAUCUCAGUCUCCUGACCUCAAUAUCAUUGAGCCUCCCUGGGGACAUCUCAAACAUGCAGUUCAUGCAAGACAGCCCAAGAAUUUACAGGAACUGGAAGCUCUUUGCCAAGAAGAAUGGGCAGCUUUACCAUCUGAGUAAAUAAAGAGCCUCAUCCACAACUACCACAAAAGACUUCAAGCUGUCAUUGAUGUUAAAGGGGACAAUACACGGUAUUAAGAACUGGGGUAUGUAAACUUUUGAUCAGGGUCAUUUGGGUAGUUUCUGUUGUCAUUAUGACUUAAAAAGAGUAAACACAGUUGUUUGACAAUAAAUGGCUUCA